UUCGAAUCCUACUUGGGGAGAUUUGAUUCAUUCCGAAUUAAAGAAUUCGGAAUGAAAGGGUUCGCUUUGACC
rnacentral:tRNA from 1 species